ACGCUGGCGGCGUGCCUAACACAUGCAAGUCGAACGGACUGAUUCCUUCGGGAAUGAAAGUUAGUGGCGGACGGGUGAGGUAACGCGUGAGCAACCUGCCUUUCAGAGGGGAAUAACGUUUGGAAACAGACGCUAAUACCGCAUAACGCAUAGGUGUCGCAUGGCAUUUAUGCCAAAGGAGCAAUCCGCUGAAAGAUGGGCUCGCGUCCGAUUAGAUAGUUGGUGGGGUAACGGCCUACCAAGUCGACGAUCGGUAGCCGGACUGAGAGGUUGAACGGCCACAUUGGGACUGAGACACGGCCCAGACUCCUACGGGAGGCAGCAGUGGGGGAUAUUGCACAAUGGGCGAAAACCUGAUGCAAGCAACGCCGCGUGAGGGAUGACGGUUUUCGGAUUGUAAACCGUCUGUCUUUGGUGACGAACAAAUGACGGUAGCCGAGGAGGAAGCCACGGCUAACUACGUGCCAGCAGCAGC
rnacentral:rRNA from 1 species